UCCCUGGCAGUCCAGGGGUUAAGACUCGGCGCUUGCACUGCCGGGGGCCCAGGUUCAAUCCCUGGUUGGGGAA
rnacentral:tRNA from 1 species